rnacentral:rRNA from 1 species
AUGUGUGUCGACUUCACCAACCUCAACAAAGCAUGCCCGCAAGAUCCGUUCCCUCUCCCACGCAUUGACCAGAUCAUCGAUUCCACUGUGGAAUGCGACCUGUUAUGCUUCUUGGAUGCCUUCUUUGGGUAUCACCAGAUCAAGAUGGCGGUAGAAGACGUCGAGAAGACAGCCUUCCUAACCCCGUGUGGGGUGUACCGCUACACAUGCAUGCCAUUCGGGCUGCGUAACGCAGGGGCGACCUUUCAGCGGCUGAUGCACAUCACCUUGGCCCGCAGCUCGGGAAGAAUGUUGAAGCUUAUGUUGAUGACAUUGUGGUAA